CGGCUGUGUAAACUGACGUUGAGUAACACCAAAAGCUCCGUCAGAAUCGGGAAGGACCUCUCCGAGCCGUUCGAUACCAAACGAGGUUUCAGACAAGGCGACUCCCUAUCGUGCGACUUUUUCAACCUGCUUCUGGAGAAAAUAGUUCGAGCUGCAGAACUCAAUAGAGAAGGUACCAUCUUCUAUAAGAGUGUACAGCUGCUGGCGUAUGCCGAUGAUAUUGAUGUCAUCGGCCUCAACACCCGCGCCGUUAGUUCUGCUUUCUCCAGGCUGGACAAGGAAGCACAGAAAAUGGGUCUGGCAGUGAACGAGGGCAAGACGAAAUACCUCCUGUCAUCAAACAAACAGUCGUCGCACUCGCGACUUGGCUCUCACGUCACUGUUGACAGUCAUAACUUUCAAGUUGUAGAUAAUUUCGUCUAUUUAGGAACCAGUAUUAACACCACUAACAAUGUCAGCCUGGAAAUCAAACGCAGGAUUGCUCUUGCCAACAGGUGCUACUUCGGACUAGGUAGGCAAUUGAAAAGUAAAGUCCUCUCUCGACGAACAAAAGCCAAACUCUAUAAGUCGCUCAUAAUCCCCGUCCUGCUAUAUGGUGCAGAGGCUUGGACGAUGACAACAACCGAUGAGUCGACGUUACGAGUUUUCGAGAGAAAAGUUCUGUGAAGGAUUUAUGGUCCUUUGCGCAUUAUACACGGCGAAUAUUGCAUUCGAUGGAACGAUGAGCUGUACGAGAUAUAAGACGACAUUGACAUAGUUCAGCGAAUUAAAAGACAGCGGCUACGCUGGCUAGGUCAUGUCCGGAUGGACGAAAACACUCCAGCUCUGAAAGUAUUUGACGCAGUACCGCCGGGGGAAGCAGAGGAAGAGGAAGACCUCUACUCCGUUGGAAGGACCAAGUGGAGAAGAACCUGGCUUCGCUUGGAAUAUCCAAUUGAAGAAUUGAAGAAGAAGAAUAAAUGUUUCAAUAAACACAAACUCAGUUCAAUUAGGAAAAGAAAGUGUUUUACGGUUAUAUGGCAGAGUUACAAUUGUUCUGUCGCGACGGGUUGCUAUACAUUUGAAACAAAAAAUAAUUCGAAAUAAAUCGGAGUUGUAAUAAAAACAAACUCGACAA